AGUGAACGCUGGCGGCGGGCCUAAUACAUGCAAGUCGAACGGAGUGGCGCACGGGUGAGUAAUGUAUAGCUAAUCUGCCCUCCACUAGAGGACAACAGUUGGAAACGACUGCUAAUACUCCAUAGUGUAGGAUGAGGCUAUAUUGUAUCAGCUAGUUGGUGAGGUAAUGGCUCACUAAGGCUAUGACGCAUAACUGGUCUGCUAGGAUGCUGAGUCACACUGGAACGGAGACACGGUCCAGACUUCUUCGGGAAGGAGCAGUAGGGAAUAUUGCUCAAGGGGGGAAAGCCUGAAGCGGCAACGCGGUGUGAAGGAUGAUAAUUGACGGAGCAUAAACUCCUUUUGUUAGGGAAGCGGUACCUGACGAAUAAGCACCGGCUAACUCCGUGCCAGCAGCCGCGGUAAUAC
rnacentral:rRNA from 1 species